AUUGAACGCUGGCGGCAGGCUUAACACAUGCAAGUCGAGCGGGGUGAGGUGCUUCGGUACUGAUCCUAGCGGCGGACGGGUGAGUAAUGCUUAGGAAUCUGCCAUUUAGUGGGGGACAACAUUCCGAAAGGAAUGCUAAUACCGCAUACGUCCUACGGGAGAAAGCAGGGGAUCUUAGGACCUUGCGCUAAAUGAUGAGCCUAAGUCGGAUUAGCUAGUUGGUGGGGUAAAGGCCUACCAAGGCGACGAUCUGUAGCGGGUCUGAGAGGAUGAUCCGCCACACUGGGACUGAGACACGGCCCAGACUCCUACGGGAGGCAGCAGUGGGGAAUAUUGGACAAUGGGCGGAAGCCUGAUCCAGCCAUGCCGCGUGUGUGAAGAAGGCCUUUUGGUUGUAAAGCACUUUAAGCGAGGAGGAGGCUACCUAGAUUAAUACUCUGGGAUAGUGGACGUUACUCGCAGAAUAAGCACCGGCUAGCUCUGUGCCAGCAGCCGCAGUAAAAC
rnacentral:rRNA from 1 species